CUCAGCAAAAUAUCCUCAAGUCUGACCCAUGCUGUGUAGCACAUGUCAGAAUUUCCUUUGUAUUUAAAAUUCAGUGCUGUUCCAGUGUACGGACCUGCCACGUGCUGCUUCUCCAUUCACCCAUAAGUGGACACCUUGGUGGCAUCCACGUUUCAGCUGCUGUGAGUAAUGCUGCUAUGAAGAUGGCCGAAAUUUCCCAUGAAGACCCUGCUCAAUUCGUAUGGAUGUACAGUAUACUCAAAAGUCAAAACCUACUGAUGCCUGCUAGUGCUCCUAAGCCACUUCCCUUAAAAGGGAUAGCAGAUAUUCCAAAGGUCCAAACUCUGCACCUUCUUUGACAACCCCAUGAAUCCCCCAGGCCCCA
rnacentral:lncRNA from 1 species